GGGAUAGAAAAAUAUCAAUAAUACUAAUAAAUAAAGACGACUGUUUAUGGCAGACUACUAUUGAUCGGACUGAUAGUUAUAUAAAAGGAAUCAAUUAUCUAACUAAUUAUUACUAACAGCAGUUAUUGACAUGUGUUGUUGUCGCCCGCAGUUGAAUUUUAAGGUUUCUCCUCCCACUUUGCGUUUAAGGUUUCUCGCACCGAGAAAACUAUUUGUGAGUUUUAUUUUUCUUCUCUAAAUUUUAAGGUUUCUCCUCCCACUUUGCGUUUA
rnacentral:lncRNA from 1 species